UACGAAGGGGGCUAGCGUUGCUCGGAAUUACUGGGCGUAAAGCGCACGUAGGCGGUCUUUUAAGUCGGGGGUGAAAUCCUGGAGCUCAACUCCAGAACUGCCUUCGAUACUGGAAGACUUGAGUCCGGGAGAGGUGAGUGGAACUGCGAGUGUAGAGGUGAAAUUCAUAGAUAUUCGCAAGAACACCAGUGGCGAAGGCGGCUCACUGGCCCGGUACUGACGCUGAGGUGCGAAAGCGUGGGGAGCAAACAGG
rnacentral:rRNA from 1 species